GUCUGGUGCCAAACUUUAAAAAUGUUCCACUUCGAUGGGAGGGUCUGGUGCAAGACUUGGAUAACACGAUUUUCACUCAUCAGUAACUUGCUCGCCAUCGGAACCACGUUGUGUCUCUGUACACCGACCAAAAACGAUCACAACAGUACAAAGCCCGAUAACCGUACCUGCAAUGACAAUGCACCCAUCCUCUUGGAAUUGCAUUCGCUGUUAACGCUAAUCGCAGGGGAAAAUACUCGCGUGGAGGCGACAAGAAGUUGGGAAAAGCAGAAAGAAAUCAUUAGAAAAGAAGUAGAAGAAGGCGAAUGCAGGCACGUUCUACAGUACGCGCGAAAUAAAAACCUAUCGCAACAAUACCCAUCCUCAACACGGUACCAAAUGAGAAUGCACCCAGGCCUGACGAGAGGGGGGGACAGGGGGGUCUGGUGUACCCGGGCCAGCGGCUGUCAAGGGGGCCCGGCCUUGGGUCAGAAAAUGAACACGAAGCUGAAGUGUCCUGCUCCAUUGGGAUUUCUGGUCUGUUUUCUUAUUGUCCACGUGGUGCAAGGUGUGACCUCAGGCAAUGUGACUGGUACUGAGUUGCACUGUACAGGAGUCGUACCUGAUGUACAAACUGUUCUGACUCAGCACGCGCACGAAGUCUGCACUAACACGUGGUGUUGCGCAUU